AGUUGAUUGGCUGGGUCAUAUAGUAAUAGUUUUAGGAACUACCAAACUAUUUUCCAAAGCAUAUAUUCUAUUUUAUAUUCCCAUCAGCAAC
rnacentral:pre_miRNA from 1 species